UGUGUUCUUUUAGUUGUUAAACUCAAUAUUCCUAUUCUCUCCGCAGUAGGAGUUGUAGGAGAGAGCCCUGUAUGCGUUCUUGGAGCCAUACCAGGGGUAGGAAACGGGGAAUCGAGUCCCCCUUACAAUUCCCUCCUGCACCCCCUAUUGCGGGUAGUAUUUUUGGGAGUAUUUAGGCCAGUAAUCUGUGCUUUACCUGUAGUGUAAGAAGUGUUAGUGAAUUAAGAGGCUGUAUGUUUGUGUCUUUACGACGGAGAUGGUUCUCGUCGUGUAUAGGUUUUUCCCGGAAAUGUAACGUUCCCCCUCUCUGAGUCUCUUUCAUACAUCAUAUGUACCUGGUUUUUACAAUAAUUGUACAACCGCCCAAGGGUAAAGAUUUCGUGGAGAAUCCUCAGCCUUAUUCUGGUUACCAUAGUGAGAGGAGAAAACUAGAAAUCAGUCGUGUGUCCAUUCGCCCAUUUCCGUCAGUUUCGGGAAAAUCGUGCCUUCAAUGAGGAAUUAAUUAUAAACCGUGUCGUCAGGUAUGCGGCGCCUAUGUAUUGCCUUCUAAACUAAGUCACAGGAAUAAAUGUAAGCACUCCUAUAUAUAGGCCUUUAUUUCUUGUCACUCCCCGAUGUGAGAUUUGUCCGGCCGGCUGUGAGUUAAACUAACCAUUUACCGCCCCCGAGCCUGCCCCGCUUACCUCGCUACCCUGCCCAAGGAAUCAGAGUCUCGCUCUGGGUCAUUUUAAUCCCUCAUUAAAUCCUUAGUCCUUUAUAUACAUAUACUCUUAAGGUUCCCAGUGAGCUACCGGCGACAUAGUUCAUCGGUAGAUCUCUGGGCGGUGGCAGCAAAACUACCCCCAGGGUGAGUCCCCCUUGUUCUCCUCAGAUAUCCCUAGGUGAAUUCCUUUUUUUUUUUUUUACAACAUUUAGGUGUCCCGAAUUUCCGGGCACGACACCACCAGUAGACAAGAGAUAUAGAGGGAAGAGAGAGAAAAUAACAAGAGAACGGCGAGGGAAGUGGCUGGCAAGUCUGGCAAGAGCUGACUUAUCCGAGGCUGGAAAAAGGCAUCUCCUCGUGUGCAGUGAUCAUUUUUUGAGUGGACGGCCAGCAGUCCUUGAGGAUACUAGUAAUCCAGACUGGGCCCCAACACAGAACCUUGGUCAUCGUAAAGUGUCCCAGGAAUUGGUCGCCAUCAGUUGUGCUCGGCAUCAAAGGAUCCAGGAGAGAAAGUUGAAGAAGGAUAAGGAGAUGUUUAUGGCAGCGCAGACACUCAUGGACAUACAGGAAUACACUCAACCUUGCCAUGACGAAGUUCAUGUUGAACAACAGGAACAGUUGUCCCUACUAGCCAUCGGCCAGACAUUUCAGACAGAGAAGCAAACCAUUGUGUCUAGACCAGCUGCCUGCCAGACAGAAACAGUAACAGUUGCAACUGUCGGCUGCCAAAGAGACCUCACCCUAAUGGAGACGACCAUGUUUGAUCAGCAGGAUGAGGACUUGAACAAGUUACGAACAGAGGUGUAUGAACUCCGUUCUACAGUAGGUGACUACAAUAACCUCAACCUCAGUAAUGAUGAUGAAAAAGUCCUUUUUAUACAGGGCUGCCAAACUAUGCUGUACUGAUGUGCAUUUUUUAUUAUGUUUGCCUUAAUAUUACCCAUUCAAUUAAUUCAAAGCUAUCCCCGUUUCAAAAAUUUGUUAUGUUUCUGAUGCAUCUUCGUUUAAACACAUGCUUCCAGGAUUUGGCCUACAGAUUUAAUGUAUCUCUUUCAACUGUGUCAAGGAUAGUUUAUAAAUGGGUAGAUACAGCAGAUACAAAAUUAAGACAUUCCAUUGUAUGGCCUACUGGCACAAUAGGCUGGGAAGAAAAUAAAUAAAAAAUAGAAAAAUAAAAAUCAGUCGACACACACACACACACACACACACACACACACACACACAC